rnacentral:sRNA from 1 species
GGCUGCAACAACCCCGUGGGUGGGGACGUUUGAGCUAGCCGGAGGGAUUUCCGGUCAUCUCAAGGCGUCAGUGCAUCCACUGCAGUC